rnacentral:rRNA from 1 species
UGACGAAUAUUCCGCAAUGCGCGAAAGCGUGACGGAGCAAUGCCGCGUGUGGGAUGAAGCAUCUAGGUGUGUAAACCACUGUCAGGGUUUAGGAAGUUCUGACCAGACCCAAAGGAAGAGCCGGCUAACUCUGUGCCAGCAGCCGCGGUAAUACAGAGGGCUCAAGCGUUAAUCGGAAUCACUGGGCUUAAAGGGUCCGCAGGCGGAUUGGUAAGUAUCUUGUGAAAUACCAUGGCUCAACCAUGGAAUUGCCUGGUAAACUACCAAUCUUGAACACGGUAGGGGCCAUCGGAACUCUAGGUGGAGUGGUGAAAUGCGUAGAUAUCUAGAGGAACGCCAGAGGUGAAGGCGGAUGGCUGGGCCGUUGUUGACGCUCAGGGACGAAAGCAUGAGUAGCGAACGGGAUUAGAUACCCCGGUAGUCCAUGCCCUAAACGAUGUGCACUAGGUCGCGGAGGGUUUGACCCUAUCGCGGCUGAAGUUAAAAUAUUAAGUGCACCGCUUGGGGAGUACGGUCGCAAGGCUA